AUGAAAAGUAUUCUGCAAGUUACCUCUCAAGGUCUAUCCCCAAGAUAUCUUGGUGUUCCAUCCUAUGUGGGUAAGGCCAAAGCAAGAACCUUUGAGUAUGUAAAAGAGAGGGUGUGGAAAAAGAUCCAAGGAUGGAAGGAAAAACUCCUAUCGAAAGGUGGAAAAGAAAUCCUCAUUAAAGCGGUAGCACAAGCAAUCUCGGUGUAUUCCAUGGCUUGCUUUGAUCUAACCAAGACCCUAUGUGAAGAGUUGAGCAAUAUGAUAAAUAGAUACUGGUGGAGCCAAGUGGAUAAAGAGAAUAAAAUACAUUGGGCUAGCUGGGAGAAGAUGACGAAGACGAAGAAAACAGGAGGCUUGGGAUUUAGGGAUCUCCAUGCCUUCAAUCUUGCCUUGCUCAUUCAAAACCCAGCUUCCUUAUGUGCGCAGGUCCUGUCAGCAAGAUACUACUCAGAUGGCUCAGUUCUUCAAGCCAGGCCUAGAAGCGGCAUAUCCUACACAUGGCGCAGUAUACUAAAAGGAGUAGAUCUGCUCAAGAAAGGGAUCAUAUGGAGAGUAGGCAGUGGUAGCAACAUCAAUAUUUGGUCUGAUCCCUGGAUUCCAAGAGGAAGUACUAGGAGAGUCAUCACACAGAGGGGUGGAAAUAUUGUAACUAAAGUAAAUGAUUUGAUUGAUCCUACCACAAACAAUUGGGAUGAAGACUUAGUUAGACAAACCUUUCUCCCUGAAGAUGCAAAUAUUAUUCUACAAAUCCCAAUUCAUACACAUGAAGAUGAUUUCAUAGCAUGGCAUUAUGAUAAAAAAAGAUGA
rnacentral:rRNA from 1 species